rnacentral:rRNA from 1 species
UACACGACCGUACCGCAAACCGACACUGGUGCGCGAGAUGAGUAUUCUAAGGCGCUUGAGAGAACUCAGGAGAAGGAACUCGGCAAAUUGACACCGUAACUUCGGAAGAAGGUGUGCCUUUAGUAGGUGAAGGGAUUUACUCCUGGAGCCCAAUGAGGUUGCAAAAAAUCGGUGGCUGCGACUGUUUAUUAAAAACACAGCACUCUGCAAACACGAAAGUGGACGUAUAGGGUGUGACGCCUGCCCGGUGCUGGAAGAUUAAAUGAUGGGGUGCAAGCUCUUGAUUGAAGUCCCAGUAAACGGCGGCCGUAACAAUAACGGUCCUAAGGUAGCGAAAUUCCUUGUCGGGUAAGUUCCGACCUGCACGAAUGGCGUAACGAUGGCCACACUGUCUCCUCCUGAGACUCAGCGAAGUUGAAAUGUUUGUGAUGAUGCAAUCUCCCCGCGGAAAGACGGAAAGACCCCAUGAACCUUUACUGUAGCUUUGUAUUGGACUUUGAACAGAUCUGUGUAGGAUAGGUGGGAGGCUUUGAAGCAGGGUCGCUAGAUCUUGUGGAGCCAACGUUGAAAUACCACCCUGGUGUGUUUGAGGUUCUAACCUAGGCCCGUAAUCCGGGUUGGGGACAGUGCAUGGUAGGCAGUUUGACUGGCCGGUCUCCUCCCAAAGUGUAACGGAGGAGUUCGAAGGUACGCUAGUUACGGUCGGACAUCGUGACGAUAGUGCAAUGGCAUAAGCGUGCUUAACUGCGAGACUGACAAGUCGAGCAGAUGCGAAAGCAGGACAUAGUGAUCCGGUGGUUCUGUAUGGAAGGGCCAUCGCUCAACGGAUAAAAGGUACUCUGGGGAUAACAGGCUGAUACCGCCCAAGAGUUCAUAUCGACGGCGGUGUUUGGCACCUCGAUGUCGGCUCAUCUCAUCCUGGGGCUGUAGCCGGUCCCAAGGGUAUGGCUGUUCGCCAUUUAAAGAGGUACGUGAGCUGGGUUUAAAACGUCGUGAGACAGUUUGGUCCCUAUCUUCCGUGGGCGCUGCAGAUUUGAGGAAGCCUGCUCCUAGUACGAGAGGACCGGAGUGGACGCACCUCUGGUGUAUCGGUUGUCACGCCAGUGGCAUUGCCGAGUAGCUAUGUGCGGAAGAGAUAACCGCUGAAAGCAUCUAAGCGGGAAACUCGUUUCAAGAUGAGAUCUGCCGGGGCCUUGAGCCCCCUGAAGAGUCGUUCAAGACCAGGACGUUGAUAGGUCGGGUGUGGAAGCGCAGUAAUGCGUUAAGCUAACCGAUACUAAUUGCUCGUGCGGCUUGACCCU